CGGUAGGUAAGAGUAACGCAAUUGGGAAACGGACCGCGAGCCGAGCCGGUAAAUUAAGCCACUAAGGUCAAUAAUGACAUCGACAAAGCAGCUUCACGCGCUCAUCCCGGCGACCUGCCUCCUACACUCGCGGCUCAUUCGGCCGGCGCUCUCCUCCCACCGACGCGACCUCUCUCUUAACACCUCUCCCUCUCUCUCUCACAAAACCAACCACAACCCCAAACCCCCCAAUUUCACAGCUCCGUUCCCGAUGGGCGACCUAACGGAAUCCUCGCUCACGCCGUCAACCACCACCCCCAAUUCCUCCUCAAACCCUAGGCCCAUGCCCGUCCGCGAGGACUGCUGGAGCGAAGACGCCACCUCGACUCUCAUCGACUCCUGGGGCAGCCGUUACCUCGAGCUCAACCGCGGCAACCUCCGCCAGAAGGACUGGCAGGAGGUCGCCGACGCCGUCAACGCCCUCCACGGCCACACCAAGAAGACGCACCGUACGGACGUCCAGUGCAAGAAUCGAAUUGAUACUAUCAAGAAGAAGUACAAGGUCGAGAAGGCUAGGGUUUCUGGAGGAUUGACCUCUUCCUGGCCUUUUUUCGAUCGCCUCGACGCUCUCAUCGGAUCUAACGUCAAGAAGCCCUCGCCGUCGUCGCUCUCGCCUUCGCCGCCGGUCGCGGUUCCGCUGCCGCUGGCGUACCGGAAGCCUUCGCCGGCGAGGCCGGUCGUGACGGCCGUGGCUCUGCCGCAGAAGAGGUCGGCGUCCGCGGCGGCGAUGAACG
rnacentral:lncRNA from 1 species